CAAGACGGUGUAAUGUUUGAUUUUUAUUUAUUUAGUUUUUAUUGCAGAAAGUCUGAUCAAAUAAAAACAUGUUGUCAAACCUGUAGAUCUGAUUAUCUGAGUGAGCAAUUCUAUAUCACUAACUUUGACCCAACUCACUUCUGAUCCUGGUAGGUUUUCUGUUUAUUCAGCGUUUUGUUGUCACAGAUGCAUGAUGGGAACUUAGACCAGGCCUAACAUGAUUGGCUGGCUUUUAAAAUGAAAACUAGUCCCUCAUACUCGCUGUUUAGUGAAAUCCGAAUAGAAGACUCGCUCGUUUAUAUGAUCUAGAUUUAUCUACCCGUUUCCCAGCUGUGUUUGUUUCCAUUUAAAGAGAAUUUAGGCUGAGAGGAGAUGCCUGCAACAGCAGGACACACGGAGCUCCAUCAACAGCUCUCCUUGUUAUGAUCCUCUAGUGCCCUCCGGUGGCGGCGCACGAUUACUGCAUCCACAUGUUACAGAAAUAUCUGCAGACCAAGGCUGUGAGGCUGGAGAAGAUCACACUUGCAUCUGAGGCGCUGCAGCCUCCACAUCUCAGAGACUGUCCCAGUCCACAACACCUUCAUUCAGACCUUCAUCUCCUCCUUCUCUGCACCAUCCUGGAUCGAGUAGUGGAUCGAUCUCCACAUCCAGGAACCUGAGUGUUGCCCCUGCAGGGUGUUGUACAGCCAGGUCGCACUGUUGCCAAGCGAGACCUCAGCUGUCCAACCACCCUCUGGUCACAGGACGGCCUGCAGGAAAACCAUACCACUUUAAGAUACUUUCU